AUCCAGCUGAAGAGUCCCAAAUAGGACGAAACGUAUUUCCUGCAU
rnacentral:hammerhead_ribozyme from 1 species